CAGCAGCCACGGUAAUACAGAGGGUGCGAGCGUUAAUCGGAUUUACUGGGCGUAAAGCGUGCGUAGGCGGCUUUUUAAGUCGGAUGUGAAAUCCCUGAGCUUAACUUAGGAAUUGCAUUCGAUACUGGGAAGCUAGAGUAUGGGAGAGGAUGGUAGAAUUCCAGGUGUAGCGGUGAAAUGCGUAGAGAUCUGGAGGAAUACCGAUGGCGAAGGCAGCCAUCUGGCCUAAUACUGACGCUGAGGUACGAAAGCAUGGGGAGCAAACAGGAUUAGAGACCCGUGUAGUCCCUGUCUCUUAUAA
rnacentral:rRNA from 1 species